rnacentral:lncRNA from 1 species
UUUCGAGGAAAGGAAAGGUAAGCCUAUAGCCCAUAUGUUACCUAGCAAAGCCAUUUCCAAUCACUUCUCCGGAAAGCGUUGGUUCGGGGCAUACAUUAUUCCCCAUGCAAUUACACGUGCUUACGCCGAUUUACGCGAUGAAUAAACGGAUACGCGUAGAUCGGCUUUCGAGGAAAAAGAGGUAAGCCUAUAGCCCAUAUGUUACCUAGCAAAGCCAUUUCCAAUCACUUCUCCGGAAAGCGCUGGUUCGGGGCAUACAUUACUCCCCAUGAAAUUACACGUGCUUACGCCGAUUUACGCGAUGAAUAAACAGAUACGCGAAAAUCGGCUUUCGAGGAAAAAGAGGUAAGCCUAUAGCCCAUAUGUCACCUAGCAAAGCCAGUUCCAAUCACUUCUACGGAAAGCGCUGCUUCGGCGCAUGCAUUACUC